AAAAAGCAAAUAGCACAACCAAUAUAUACAAAAGAAAAAAACAAAAAAGAAAACUUGCAACCUCUUUUAUUGCCAUGAAGAUCUCCAUGCUCAAAUUUUCUCUCCUUGCCAUUUUCUUGUUGAUUGUCCUUGAUUUGCAGAGUGGGGUAAGAGCAAGAGGGCCAAUAGUUCGUUAUGGAUGCAAAACAGUCCAAGAUUGUCAACCGGUUUGUACUCAAGAACAAUGCCCACCACCCAACUGGUGCUUUUGUGCAAAUAAUCAGUGUGGGUGCCAUCCAGAUUCAACCUUUGCUGGAAAUCAAACAGUAGAAAAGGAAAAGGAAGUACCAAAAAAUGUGUAACUUUACAGAACUUUUUUUUUUUUGAAAGCAACUUUACAGAACUUUUAAACUAGGGUUUUCCUUAGUGUACAAGAAUAAAUAAAGUUUGGCACCAAAGCCCAACUGUUUAGUGAUAAUAAUACUUGUAAACCUAUUGUAUUUACAAGUUAUAUUAAAAACUGCAUGUUUGUAUCUUUU